GAUGAAGAACGUUGCGAAAUGCGAUAAGUAAUGUGAAUUGCAGAAUUCAGUGAAUCAUCGAAUCUUUGAACGCACAUUGCGCCCCUUGGUAUUCCGAGGGGCAUGCCUGUUCGAGCGUCAUUAUAACCCUCAAGCUCAGCUUGGUGUUGGGGCCUGCUGCACUGGCAGCCCUUAAAAUCAGUGGCGGCGCCAUCUGGCUCUAAGCGUAGUAAUUCUUCUCGCUAUGGAGUCCUGGUGGAUGCUUGCCAUCAACCCCCAAUUUUUCUAUGGUUGACCUCGGAUCAGGUAGGGAUACCCGCUGAACUUAAGCAUAUCAAUAAGCGGAGGA
rnacentral:misc_RNA from 1 species